CUAAAGAUCUGUAAGAUUGUUCAUCCGAUAAAUCCUCCGCUAGCUUGGAAGAAGGAUCAAUUACUCUUAAUACUACUGCUUCAUCGUUGUCGGCUAAAAGUGUUUCGAAUAACCAAUCGACUGCAACUUCAGAAUACGAAUUGCCAUCCAUGCCACACAAAAAAGUGCGAGACGUUCUUGUCCACUUGUAAGCUUGAUGUUGUGUUUUCAGAGUCAGGGAAAAAUCUGUAGCCGCUUUAUUAUUAAACGUAUCGAACGAAAUCCUUUUUAGAAAAUGUGGACUCGGAGGUGGUGAAACAAGACUAUGGGAACGUCCAUGAUGAUAUUCCUCAAAUUGUGGAGGACAGAAUCCAGCCGCCCGAGCAGGUGCCACUGUUACGGAAUUUUUUGCAACAGGACGAAACGUUGGCUGUUCCAUUGAGCUCCUGGCACUCCGAACCGGCGUAACAGGAGCAGAAUGAGAUGGUUUUUUAACAUCGGUAGAAAUGGAUAACUUCUGCUGGUCUUUAGAAGUUCGUGGCUCAGGACGAGGGAGAUUAC